rnacentral:rRNA from 1 species
GAUGAACGCUGGCGGCGUGCCUAAUACAUGCAAGUCGAGCGAACGGACGAGAAGCUUGCUUUUCUGAUGUUAGCGGCGGACGGGUGAGUAACACGUGGAUAACCUACCUAUAAGACUGGGAUAACUUCGGGAAACCGGAGCUAAUACCGGAUAAUAUUUUGAACCGCAUGGUUCAAUAGUGAAAGACGGUUUUGCUGUCACUUAUAGAUGGAUCCGCGCCGCAUUAGCUAGUUGGUAAGGUAACGGCUUACCAAGGCAACGAUGCAUAGCCGACCUGAGAGGGUGAUCGGCCACACUGGAACUGAGACACGGUCCAGACUCCUACGGGAGGCAGCAGUAGGGAAUCUUCCGCAAUGGGCGAAAGCCUGACGGAGCAACGCCGCGUGAGUGAUGAAGGUCUUCGGAUCGUAAAACUCUGUUAUUAGGGAAGAACAUAUGUGUAAGUAACUGUGCACGUCUUGACGGUACCUAAUCAGAAAGCCACGGCUAACUACGUG